AUACCUUCCUCAGCCUUUUGGCUUAGAUGAAGUGUAAUAAUAGUUUUAUCAGUUUAAUAUCAGAUAUAUGGACCAUAUAUUCACUUUGAUGUUAAAUUUAUUUUUUAUAGAUAUUAAAUAUGAUUGUGUGCUGUCACAUCACAUGAUCAUUGUAC
rnacentral:snRNA from 1 species